rnacentral:lncRNA from 1 species
GUGGGGAGGGCGGGCCUGGCUGCUCAUUGAGGACCACCUUGGGCUGCUCCCAUCCCUUGGCUAAAGAAAACAACUCUGACUGCUCUCCGUUUUCUUUAACUGCUCAGUUGUCAUCCGAGAAAACCUCCCCUCCUCACGUUACAGCAGCUGAAGGAAUAUUUGGAAUACCAAAGUAUUUUUUCGCAGUGAUUUCUUUUUAUCAUCGUGAUUCUCCAACAACCCAAAGUUGGAUCCGUCUGGUCUCAGGAUUGGAAAGCGACUCUCUGAGCAGAUCCAACAUGUUUCUAAAAGUUCCGUUCUUCAUCCUCCUCCUGGGGAGCCUGCCUUUUGUAGCCCUUGCUCAAGAAGCAAGUUCAGUUCUAGAAGGAGAAGAAAGUGCAACAAGUGAUUUCAGAGACAGAAACGACACAGAAUUUGAAGAAGUACCAACAAUUUUUGGAGACCUGAAGACCACAGAAAGUAGCUUCAUCCAGGAUGGAGAAAUUGAAAAUGUUACUGCUUAUGAAGUUAACACAGAAAGUGUUGAUGGUGAACGGAGUGGGGAAACAGAGAAAACUGAUGAAGGUGGUCUGGGAACAAUUGCACUGCUUGGAAUAAUUAUUGGCAUCAUUGUUGCAGUUGGAAUCCUUGCAGGAAUAAUAAUUGCAGUUGUGAGGAAGAUGUCAGGCAGGUACUCGUAAGUAAAUUGCUCAUCAGGAUUUUUCUUCAAGGGUCACAGGAAUAGCUUGGAAAAUUUCU